rnacentral:rRNA from 1 species
UACAGAGGUCUCAAGCGUUGUUCGGAUUCAUUGGGCGUAAAGGGUGCGUAGGCGGCGCGGUAAGUCGGGUGUGAAAUCUCGGGGCUUAACUCCGAAACUGCAUUCGAUACUGCCGUGCUUGAGGACUGGAGAGGAGACUGGAAUUUACGGUGUAGCGGUGAAAUGCGUAGAUAUCGUAAGGAAGACCAGUGGCGAAGGCGGCUCACUGGUCCGGUACUGACGCUGAGGUGCGAAAGCGUGGGGAGCAAACAGG